rnacentral:lncRNA from 1 species
GGAUUACAGGUGCCCGCCACCACGUCCGGCUAAUUUUUGUAUUUUUAGUAGAGACGGGGUUUUACCAUAUUGGCCAGGUUGGUCUCAAACUCCUGACCUCAGGUGAUCCACCUGCCUCCGCCUCCCAAAGUGCUGGGAUUACAGGUGUGAGCCACCGCGCCCACCCGCUCCUGGGUGUCUUUGCAUAAGAGAAUGGAACACACAGCGCACGGAAAACCUGGGAACAUUCACAGCCGCAUCUGUAACAGCCAAACAGUGGAAAAGGCUGGAAUGUGCCCCAAGGAAUGGAUGGGUCAGCACCGUGCAGCCACCCACACACGAACACGACUCAGCCAUGAAAAGGAGUGAGGCUCUGACCCAGGCCACGGUGGGGAUGCACCUUGAGGACGCCAUGCUCAGUGAGAGACGCGACACAAAAGGCCACACUGUAUGACCCCGUUUCUUUCUUUCUUUCUUUUUGAGACGGAGUCUUGCUCUGUCACCCAGGCUGGAGUGCGGUGGCACAAUCUCACCUCACUGCAAGCUCUGCCUCCCGGGUUCACGCCAUUCUCCUGCCUCAGCCUCCCGAGUAACUGGGGCUACAGGUGCCAGCCACCACGCCUGGCUAAUUUUUUGUGUUUUUAG